UUUCGGUGGACAAGUUAUGACUUUGCAAGCAAGGACAAAUUGGAGUGGAACCCCAGGAAUCUUCCUUUUGAUCAUUGAAUUAGGGAUGACCUUGUUUAAUGGAUUCUUUGGUUUUGCUUUGAAACCAGCAAGUGAUUAAAAAAAAAAUAAAAAAG
rnacentral:ribozyme from 1 species